AAUAGAUACCCAGGUAGUCCACGCCGUAAACGGUGGGCACUAGAUGUGGGGGCUCUUUCCAUGAGUUCCGCGUCGCAGCUAAACGCAUUAAGUGCCCCCGCCUGGGGAGUACGGCCGCAAGGCUAAAACUCAAAGGAAUUGACGGGGGGCCCGCACAAGCGGCGGAGUAUGCGGAUUAAUUCGAUGCAACGCGAAGAACCUUACCAAGGCUUGACAUAUACGGUCUAUCCCUAGAGAUAGGGAGUGCUUCGGCGCCGUAUACAGGUGGUGCAUGGUUGUCGUCAGCUCGUGUCGUGAGAUGUUGGGUUAAGUCCCGCAACGAGCGCAACCCUCGUUCUAUGUUGCCAGCACGUAAUGGUGGGGACUCAUAGGAGACUGCCGGGGUCAACUCGGAGGAAGGUGGGGAUGACGUCAAAUCAUCAUGCCCCUUAUGUCUUGGGCUUUACGCAUGCUACAAUGGCCGGUACAAAGGGCUGCAAUACCGUAAGGUGGAGCGAAUCCCAAAAAGCCGGUCUCAGUUCGGAUUGAGGUCUGCAACUCCG
rnacentral:rRNA from 1 species